CAGAUUGUGUGCAGAGUGAAAUUCAUGUCUGAAAAGGCCAUUUACUCUGUAAAUAGACACAACGGCCUGGAGAGUCAUGCACCCAGAGAGUUGGUCGCCAUGGUUUGGUCAAAUGAUAAAACCCACAUCACCGGUGAUGCGCUGACAGCUCGGAUUACGCCCACCCCAGCUGGCACAAAAUCCUACCUGCUUCCUCCCACAGCUGCGUAAAGGAAAAUUAAGAACCGUCAUUUAAAAGCUGUAUGUUGAUGCGGGCGGGAUUACACUACGGAGAACCGUCCAAGGAAGCCAUGACUGCCUCACCUCUCAAAGGCUCUUUUAUGCUCUAACAUCACACAAGCCGUCUGCACUUGACAUUUGCCUCCUCUGCAUCUCAAAACAAUUAUAAUGCCCUCUGCAUUGAUUGAGAGUGUGCACUUUUCUGUCGUCACCUGGUUUCCUACUCUGGAACAGCAGCAAGCAGAUAUAUAUCAGGAUACACUUCUCUCAAAACCCCUUCAACGCAGCUGUUUAAUCUUGAAUUCUCAGUAGUCUUAGAGCACAAAACAAUAUGGAUAUUUAAAAUCGAAACAAUAUGGAUAUUUAAAGUCGAAGAAGUUCAGAAGAGCAUUCGGGAUGGUUUAGAAAGGCAUAUUUUAAAGUUAAGUGGCAUUUUACAACCUAAUUGCUUAAAAACAAAAGUAACUAAAAUGGCAGACAUUGAUGUUGCUUUUCCAGGGAAACAUAUUUUGUGAUAAGUAGAAAUUGAUCUAAGUUUAUCAGUCUUUAUUUAAUUUUAAAAGUGCAUUGGUAUAUCAAAACGUUUGCGUAAAGACGGUUGGGAAGUUGUCAGUCUUCAGGAUUCGCUGAUUUUGAACAUGCAAGUAAAUAAAAAACAAGAUUAGCAUAUCUGGUUAUGGAUGAUGGUAAAAUACCAGCACUGCACAGGUAAAAAGGCGCUGCCUGCUACACAACAGGGAGGUUGGCAGGGCAAAAAUUUCAUCAUAGAUGUUUGUCAGUAAAUUAAAUGUCAACCGUGUUUUUAGGCAGGCCAGCUCCAGUAAAGCUGACACAAUUGAUGUUUAAUCUCUACAAAGUGUAUCACUUUGAUAAAUAAAAUUGAACAAUCUAAAGCAAAAUGAAAGGGAAAUCCUUAUGCAAACCCAUUGAGAAAAUGAUAUUUAAAUAAUGAUCUGACCAACAACGUUAUGCAAAUAUUUCAGUCUGAGAGAAAAGUCAUAAAGUGAGGUCUAAAACUUAAAAAAUGUCAUUUAUAAAUAAUGUCUGUCCACGUUGAAGCUGGAUAAAAGAAGUAACUCCCCCAUAAUGGUGUGCAUGUCCGUUUAUUAACCCUUUCAUUCAUGAAUUAUGAUCCUUUGUGUCAGAACUUUUUUCCAAUUUCUUUUGAUUGGUUAACAAAAUUAGGCUUCCAUUCUUCAAAAUACGCAUACAUCCUUAUCAGGAUAUCAAUAAAUGUGGAGAGUACUGUCAAUGAAUUUGACCACUUCAAAACCAAAAUUAGAAGUCUAAGUUAACAAAAAAAUUAUCUUUUUUAAAUUUUAAAUACAUUUACACAUCUUACUGUACAGUUAUUUAUUUCUCUCAGUUUCUUUUGCAUUUACUCUCUGAUCA